AUUGAACGCUGGCGGAAUGCUUUACACAUGCAAGUCGAACGGUAGAGGGGGCAACCCCUCGAGAGUGGCGAACGGGUGAGUAAUAUAUCGGAAUGUGCCCAGUCGCGGGGGAUAACGUAGCGAACGUUACGCUACUACCGCAUACGAUCUAAGGAUGCAAGCGGGUGACUCGCGAGAGCCCCGCGCUAUUGGAGGGGCCGAUAUCAGAUUAGGUAGUUGGUGGGGUAAAGGCGCACCAAGACAACGAACUGUAGCUGGUCUGAGAGGACGACCAGCCACACUGGAAAUGAGACACGGUCCAGACUCCUACGGGAGGCAGCAGUGGGGAAUUUUGGACAAUGGACGCAAGUCUGAUCCAGCCAUUCCGCGUGCAGGAUGAAGGCCCUCGGGUUGUAAACUGCUUUUGUACGGAACGAAAAGGUUUCUAUUAAUACUAGGAGCUCAUGACGGUACCGUAAGAAUAAGCACCGGCUAACUACGUGCCAGCCGCCGCAGUAAAAC
rnacentral:rRNA from 1 species